GACGAACGCUGGCGGCGUGCUUAACACAUGCAAGUCGAACGGGGCGAAGUGAUAGCUUGCUAUUAUGGAGCCUAGUGGCAAACGGGUGAGUAACGCGUAUCCAACCUUCCCGUUACUUAGGGAUAGCCUUCCGAAAGGGAGAUUAAUACCUGAUGGUGUUGAAAUUCCGCAUGUUAUUUCAACUAAAGAUUUAUCGGUAACGGAUGGGGAUGCGUGACAUUAGAUAGUAGGCGGGGUAACGGCCCACCUAGUCUACGAUGUCUAGGGGUUCUGAGAGGAAGGUCCCCCACACUGGAACUGAGACACGGUCCAGACUCCUACGGGAGGCAGCAGUGAGGAAUAUUGGUCAAUGGUCAGACGACUGAACCAGCCAUGCCGCGUGAAGGUCACGGCCCCUAUGGGUCUUAAACUUCUUUUGCAAGGGAGCAAUAAGCCUCACGUGUGGGGCGAUGAGAGUACCUUGCGAAUAAGCAUCGGCUAACUCCGUGCCAGCAGCCGCGGU
rnacentral:rRNA from 1 species